rnacentral:lncRNA from 1 species
GACGUAUAUCGCUAAUCAGUUGGUCUUAACUAACACAAUAUGAAAAUUUUAUGUGAGAUACAUAUUUCUUAAAGUCAAACUGAACCGGGCCAUAACAAAUUUAAACAGUCCAAAGAUCCGACAGGGUACAUACAGACACCUAUUAGAUUAUGCGUUAUUCCAUCAUCGUCAGCUAAGUUAAACUAAAUUGCUAAACACAUGGUACACAUCUAAUCAAUAUAACAACAUACUACUUAACAGUCCACAUUGGUUCGGGUACGCCCCAAUUUACACAAAACAAAUACGAUUAGAAUGAGCCCAAGCAAAUACGAACUAAUUGAAUCAUUAUAUCCUAUUGCUACAUCUUAAACACAGAUAUUGUGAAAGCAGGUGAACGUUUCAUUUCUUUGUUUAUUUCAACUCAACUUCCAAUUCAAGCUUACAUCAACCCAUAGUUUCAGAAGUGUGUACCUGGAAACGUUUACAAUUAAAGAGAAAAGAAGUCAGCAAAGCAGCAGCAGUACAGGCAAUAGCAAAGGCAGCAGUUCCAACAGCACCAAAUACCCCAGAAAUAUACUUAAAGGAGGCUCGAAGUGAUUUGUGAAACCCGACAGCAACUAAACGAACCAAACCGACUCAAUUGGACUUAAAUUUUAGACCAAAACUGGACCAAUAGAUAGCCAAUAGGUUCCAAAAAUUGAAAUCAGUCGAGCAGACCAAUGUUAGCUAACUGGGACUUGACACUAACCCGGAAACUCACUGAAGUAGUGUUUUGUUGCUUUCGCUAUCAACUAUUUUCAAAGCCUCUCUUCGAUGCUAUGUGAACUCUAUCUACUUCUUCCAACUCAACCCUCGCUCACUCUUUCUUCUCUUCUGUUUUUCAGUCUUUUUAGCUUGUGUAUCUCUGUAUCCCUGUGUAUUCAGUGUAUCUCUCUAUGUCUAUUUCUGUUUUUCUUCUUUCUGAUUUUUCAGAACUCUUUUUGAUUUUCAGAACUCUCUCCCUUUGAACUCUCUACUGUCUGCCCCCCCCCCUUCAGCACUAUUUUUUCUCCUCCUUUAUAGAAGGAAAACUGCCCUUUUGACAGGCUGCCCAGGGUUUAAAAUAAACCUUAAAGGCUGUCAUCUCCACUUAGCCUUGUCUAGGCAUGGGGUUUCUUCUAUUUAAACUGCUGAAAUUUAGAAAAGCAGUGGAUACCCUGCUGUUCAGCAGGUUCCACUACCAUUCUCAUGUGUAUCUUCAACCUUUUUAUUAUUAAACUCAGUUUACACCUGACUCCUCAUCUGUAAAGAUGUUAGCCAAGUUGUGUCUGCACUAUGGAUUAUUCUAAAGGUUCAACCAUACUCGAACUGGCAGUCCACUCAACUUAUAUUCUGAGAUUCCAUCAAAAUUACAGCUAUAACUAAUCCUACAGUGGUUUCUGAUUCAACUUAAAAGGCCAACAUACAAUGUAAUCAGUUCUCAAUUGAUUUGAAUAAGAUUAAACCAACAGGGGUCAAAUUACUAUCAUUCCCAACUAAAGCUAAUCGACGACGUAUAUGUGAAUUACAAUAUGCAUAAUCAAUAGCAAAUGAAUCCAAGUCAAACAACAUUAACAGGUGGUUCAAAUUGCACUGACAAAACAAAGGAUUACCUUGGGGACUAAUUAAUCGACCAAAACUCAUUCCAAUCAAUUAUACAAUUCAAACACAUACGCUUAUCAGUGAACAGACGAAAAUUUCGACCAAAUAAAAGGUCUGAUUUGGAAAAACCAAAAGAACAAAGCGAAGGAAUUGGAAAUAGAAUUAUUCUAAACAAUAGACGAACAACAAAAACAAACCAAAAACAAUAGAUCAAACAGAAAGGGAAAAAAAUACCUCGAGCAAACUAGGUGAAACGGGCAUGAACUCAGAUUCGACCUUUUUGAGGUCGAACGGACCUUAAUCAAGUGUACUCAAUAGAGAACACUUUGACUAAGGUCUAUUAGACCCUCAAACCUCUGUUAAUUAGGACAAAAUCCUGAUUUCUGGAUUUCUAGGGUUCUUGGGGCUCAGAUUAAGGGUUCGGGUUUUCCUGGUUAGAUUCGGACCAAACCAAGCCUGGUUUGGUCACGAGGGAGGUCAGGGGAGUGCCUGGUGUGAAUCUGGCGUGGGUUGGUGUAGAUCGGGAUUUUGC